rnacentral:lncRNA from 1 species
UGGAGUGUAAGGAACAUGUUAAAGAGAAGAGUUUUGAGAGAAUCGAGCCCAAAAAUCGAGAAAAGACGAAGAUUCUGAAGUCGGGACGAAAAGGGGCAUUUCGGCGGUCAAAGGAGUUGACCGCCGAAUUUGGGCGAUUUGAAGAGCAAAAACGGCGACCAACUCGGCGAUCGCCGAGUUGGCCGCCGAAUUCCCUGGAUCGAUAUUAUGCAUUGUGGAAGAA